rnacentral:lncRNA from 1 species
GAGCCCAGGACGUGAGAGCAGAAACAGGAAAUCCAGGCAAUUUUGCUGGCUGUUCCCGGAACGGACAGGACAAAGGGACUAUAUUAAGGCUUCCCUGGGUUAGACAAGAUUGGAACACGUCAGAUGGCCAACUGCUAGCACAUUGUGGACUCUGGCCAUGUCUCCAAAGGAGGCCCCUGCAACACACGGGUGGGCUGGCUGCCAGGGCUGGCAGAAGGAGAUGUGUGCUGGAAAUAAACGAGGAGCUGUUUGCUUACAGAUCUUCCCCACCACCUCAUGGGGAACCGAGAAAGAAAUUCUCAGAACGUCUAAGGAUUAGAUAGAAAAGACAACAUUUGUCUCCCAGAAAUGGUGCACACGCAUAGAUCUUUCAGGACCACGAAGUUACUUUCUUAAAACGGAUGGAAAAGUGUGUGGUGUUUCUGCACAGCUGGACCUCAGCUGGGCACACAGGAGCUAAAGACACCAAUGUAUGACAUGUGGAAUGGGAUUAAAGCUUUCUUCCUAAA